GAAAUGCGAUAAGUAAUGUGAAUUGCAGAAUUCAGUGAAUCAUCGAAUCUUUGAACGCACAUUGCGCCCGCCAGUAUUCUGGCGGGCAUGCCUGUCCGAGCGUCAUUUCAACCAUCAAGCCCCCGGGCUUGUGUUGGGGACCUGCGGCUGCCCGCAGGCCCUGAAAACCAGUGGCGGGCUCGCUGUCACACCGAGCGUAGUAGCAAUCACCUCGCUCAGGGCGUGCUGCGGGUUCCGGCCGUUAAACAGCCUUACAAAACCCAAGGUUGACCUCGGAUCAGGUAGAGAGACGCGCUGAAGAUAAGC
rnacentral:misc_RNA from 1 species